rnacentral:tRNA from 1 species
GGUCUGGUGGUGUAGUUGGUUAUCACGUCAGUCUAACAGCUCGAGAACAUCUCACGAUGUCCUCACUGCACACUGAAGGUCUCCGGUUCAAGUCCGGGCUAGAUCA